rnacentral:rRNA from 1 species
AUUGAACGCUGGCGGCAUGCCUUACACAUGCAAGUCGAACGGCAGCACGGGGGCAACCCUGGUGGCGAGUGGCGAACGGGUGAGUAACACAUCGGAACGUGCCCAGUAGUGGGGGAUAGCUCGGCGAAAGCCGGAUUAAUACCGCAUACGACCUACGGGUGAAAGCGGGGAUCGCAAGACCUCGCGCUAUCGGAGCGGCCGAUGUCAGAUUAGGUUGUUGGUGGGGNGAUGGCCUACCAAGGCGACGACGGGUAGCCGGCCUGAGAGGGCGACCGGCCACACUGGGACUGAGACACGGCCCAGACUCCUACGGGAGGGCAGCAGUGGGGAAUCUUGCGCAAUGGGCGAAAGCCUGACGCAGCGACGCCGCGUGAGGGAUGACGACCUC